GGAGCGCGGCCGCGGGAGGUGCCCUUCCCGGGAGGCACCGAGCUGCCUUUAACGCUGUUCGGUAUUUUUAUUUAUUUAUUUAUUUGUUUGUUUUAAUUCUCCCCGUGCGAUAAACCGUGUGUGCGUUGCUGAGGGAGGUGUCUGAAGCGCUAUGGGAAGCACAAGCAGGACAGAAAUUCCAGCAGGGGAGCCAGUGUGAACGCAGUUUUGAAGACAUUGAUCCCUUCCUAGGAUGGUAGAGGAAGGAAAGUAGGCACGUGCUUUGGGUACCAAUGUAAGUAAUCAGAAGCAGGAAUAACAGGGAUGCUGUUCAGUGUUUAUUGCUUUCUUUUUCCAGAAUUCCAGGAAGAAUUCUUUUAGAACAGAACGUUGUUCUGUUGCAGAUACCACAGAUGCUAAUUUCUCCUGUUCCAUCAACUGUUUAAAUGCUGUAAUCGGUUCUGAACUUACAUUUUGCAGUAAGUACACUCUACCAAAAUACCGUGAACUCAGAAGCAGAUUAUUCAUGGGAAGAUAUUGUUUGCCAGACUCGAUUAAGGCUUUGGUCCAUCAACCGCAGUGCUCUGCCGCCAGCCGUGCCCACUGCCGAUGCUCCAGUCAGGAGUGGUAUCAGAUAGUAAAUCAUGAAGUUGAACGUGUCAGUGAUAUCACAUAAGCAUUGCUGACUACAAAUUGACAUAGGAUGACAACUGGGAAAGCCUUUAGGAAAAAAAAAAAAUAAAAACAAUUCAUAGAAUGGUUUGAGUUGAGAAGGAUCUUGAAUGGCCAUCUGUCCCACUCCCAUGUGAUGAGCAGGGGCACCUACAGCUAGAUCAGGGAGUUCAGAGCCCCUCCAGCCUGUCUUUGAAUGUCUCCAGAGAUCCAGCAUCUGCUCUGGGUAACCUGUUUCAGAACCUCACUAUCCUCACUGAAAAAAACUUUAUAUUUAAUCUAAAUCUCCCCUCUUUUGGUUUGAGACCAUUUCUCCUUGCUCUAUCAAUUCAGAGCUGAAUGAUUUUCCAGAGAAGCUAUGAUAACAUACACAUGUUGGUCUCCACAGUUUUCUUGAGCAAAUUGAAGUCAGAAUUGAGCUGUACUGCAGUGAGUUAUUCUGUCCAUUCUCUUAAGAGAAGCAAAAGGAUCACCUAUCAUGUAAUAACGUCUUUAUCUUUUUUUGCACUCGUGAAGGUUUACAACUGCUUUUGUGACAAUCACGAUGAAAGAAUUGCUGGGGAUGUAUGGGGGAGGGACCAAGACUGUAUUACAGUUUCAUUAUUAAGAAAACCACAUUGUCUACUGCCUAUCACUGGGAGUUUGAGCAGAUUCAUAUUUUUUAGUCUCAUGCUGUGUCCUAGAGAUUUGUGAAUUGUCAGAGUCUGAUCCUACUGAAUGAUUUCUACAGGUUCUUAAAGUUCUUGUCUUCUAUUAGAACACGGAAAUCUCAGCACCCACAAAAAUUCUUAGGUUUUAAGAGCAGCAUGGAUUAAUAGGAUUAGCCAGCAUGUCACUGUAUGUCACAAAUGAUGGAACUUCAUACUGCAACAAACUGUCUUAUUUGAAAUUGCUCUGCACCUGUCAGGUUGCUGUCCUACACAAAAUGGAGAACAGUUGCUUGAACCCAUGGCAGCAUUAGUCAGACUCUGGCUGAGAGUGAUUACUACCAGGUUACAAAAGCUGAUGGGUGGGGGGAGCAAUUACCUAUAAAGAGAAAGUUGUUUUGUUUUGUUUUGUUUUUAUUGUGCUUAUAAGUGAAUAAUCUUUUAAAAUUCAUCAUAAAAACACUUCAUUCGACUUGGUCCUUGAAGACUUGAAGGAGCAAUUGCUUUGGGCAUCGAGUAAACAGCUGACGCGGAAGGGUCCUUAGCCCAAGAUAGCUAAACAAAAUAAAACAAAAAAAAGCUGCAAACGUUUACAUUUCAAAUUUCAUUUAGCCAGAAAGAAGCUUUCUCCAGAAGCUACACAGAUUCUGGAACAGGAGGUCUCCUAACGUUUUUUUAAAAAGUAAAACGUGCAGUAAUGUCAAGUAAAUGUUUUGUAAACCUGAACAUGUAUAAGGUUCAAAGCUUUAACAGUCACAUUAAUGAAAAAUAUACAAGCCAGACUUUUUUUUUUUUUUUUUUAAAUAGGAACAUGUCUAUUUUGAGAUUAUAUAAGUUUUUUUAAAAAAUACUAUAGGGAUUAUCUCUAAUGUGCAUUACAUUAAAUUAUACAGCUGUAGAAUUAUCACACAAGAGUUUGAGCUUGUUCUUUCUUUUUCCCUUUCUGGAACAAGAGAUAAAGGCAUAAGAGUGCAUGUAUUCAGACAGGUUAUAGUACUUUCACAGUAGCAAAACAUCACUGAGUACAGUAAGACUGUGUCUGUUCGUAAGGCCUUGAAAAUUUACAGAUUAGCUGAGAUUCUAUGAGAACAAAAUUAUUUCCAGUAUAAUCACUUGAUGUGAAAGGAAGGACGGGUUUUAAGGUCCAUAAAUAUUCAAGCUAAGAGCGUACAUGGAGUUCAUCUCCUGUUGAGACCAAUGAAGUCUUUUUUACAUUCUUACAGUUGCUUCAUUGUUCUAGAUGAAGUCAACAAGUAUGAGCUCUUUUGAGAAAAAAGACAGUGCUUUGUUCAUCAAGUGACAUACAAAUGCUUUACUGCUUUAUUAGUGCAUUACUUGCUAGCUUCAAUAGUGGCUAAAAUAUUCUUGAAAGCUACAAAGGUGUCUCUGCCCAAAUUCCUCCACAGGCACUCCUUUGAUUAAUGGGCAUUUUAAAUACAUGGUAAGACUGGUGCUGCUGUGUCACACUCAGGAUUUUGGACAUGCAUGGACAAAAGAAAGUUAUCCAUGAGCUGCUUUUGUGUGGAGUCAUUGGAAUAGCUACUUUUGCAUAGAAGUUAGGAUAUUGUCACAGGGAACCAGAAGCUGGCUGGACUGUGUUAACUGAUGCACUUCAACACAGAAGGUUAGGACUCUUUGUUCAUAAAUCUUCAUUCUUGACUUCUAGAUGUGAAACUGCAUGAUUGUUAAUGAUAUCAGUACAAAGAGCAAGACUAGAAGUCUGAAGCAAGUCCCAGUCUGUGAGAUUCUUCUUAUCAUCUGCCGCUACAAUGAACACGGCUACUGAAGGACCGACUGCCCAACAUCUCUUGUAGUAAGAAAGGUAUUUUAGACAGGAAAUGACAGAGAUAUAAUCUUUAUAAAAACAAGUGUCUAGUUCUUGAGUGUAAAAUGGAAACUCCAUUACAUACGCUCUCCCUUAUGGACACUAAAUUAAAUUUUAAUUGAGAAUUUCCUGUGCACGUAACAAAAAAAAAUGAAAAAGAAAACAACAAAAAAAAAACCACUGCACAAAAAAAACCAAACCAACCCAGCCCUUGUGGCUAUAACAACUGCGGAAAAAAACAUGACCCUCUAAAAAUUCAUGCCUUUAAGUGAAUAGAAAACAUCAUGAAAACCUAAAACAUUUAGAAUUCAGAGGAAAAUAAAUUAUUAAACGGAAAUGUUUGUCUUCUAAGCCAAAGUCAAUUUCUGACAAUAAACUGAAUAUUUUGUGAUAAAUCACGUUGAAUUUCAUACACGUUUCUCCUGGAAUUCAAUUGUGCCUCUGACCCAAAAAGGAAAAUGUAAACAUCUCUACUGGCAUCUUAGGUAAGUGUACGAUGCUACAAUCUAAGAAAAGAUGAAGGAGAGGGGUAUUUUUCUCUACUUGUUAUCUUUGUACCGGAGAAAAGUGUUUAUAGAUUUUCUGUUUUAUUGUUGCUGCCAGUUACUAAUUUCCCUUUGUUAUGACUUAGUUAAGUGGAGAAUAGUUGUUUUUUUGGUUGUUUGUUUUUAAUCUGUUUUGUUUUUAAAGGAAGGAGUAGUGCUUUUAAAACCAUAACAAAUAGUGGUAAGAAGUAGAAGAGUAAGUAUGCACAACUUUAAUUUUGUGAAGUUAAUCUAAUUUGGCAUUAUUUUUUUUAAGUUGAGAUCUACCAAGAUGGUCAAGUCAGUUCUACAUUGCUACUUACUGAUGACUUUUUUGCUAAUCUGUCACAUACAACUCAGAAAAUAAUUUGUUUUUUACUCCAUAAAGUUUACACCAGUGUUUCCAGAGGUCUCAGUAACUCAGUAAGUAUCUUAUAAAAUGAGUAACAAGUGCCGUGUUUGAAAUGAUGUGCUUUUGGUUCGUGGGUUUUUUUUUUUUGAGGUUGUUUUGUUUCUGAUGUAGUCUUCAUUAUAUGCUACUCGCAGUGAAGUUAUGGAUAAUAUACGAUAGCAUAAUUUGUCUGUACUAACAUGUAUCCUUCCAUUUACAGAAGCUUCUAGUUAAAAAAAAAGUGACACUGGACAAACUUUAAGUAUCUUUAAAUUUGCUUAGCCAGGAAAAUGAAAUUGACCCUGAUACUCUUACAGCCUAAAUCAAGGAGUAGCAAGGCUCUGGUGUCUCACAAAGGUAAAGUUACAGCCAGACAACCCCACAGAGUGUCAGAGAAGAAAGGUUUGUAAUGAUGGCAGCAAGGUUUCCAUAGAGGAUGUCAACUUGGAAGAAAAAUACUGGUCUGAAAAUGCUACGUGCUGUAAUUUAAGUUUCAAGCUGAGAUGGAUGGAAAGCUCACACUGAGAAGGAAGGAUGAUGGGGUUGCUACUGGACUAGCAGCUGUGUUAAAGAAUAAAGAACUGAAAGAGGGAGCUGCUGCAUCCUCAAAGGCCUUUAAUGGAUCGUUGCCCCCCCUCAGAAUCAAAGACACAGAGAAGUGCUGUGAUCAAAGACGUACAUCAUGUGUCUGAAAUGGAAUCCAGGAAAUGCAAAUUCAACUGGCACAAAGGAUUGUCACCUCUUUGCUCUGGUUAUGUGCAUCUCUAAAUUAGCUGUUAGAUAAUUUUGCCACUUUGCUGAACUUUUGCCCAUUGUGCACUGAAGGCAUUUAUUCUUCCUUGUCCAGGAAGAAAGGCUUAAGUAGUAGUUACAAAGAUAGAAGAGAGAAUAAAGCUCCCAUGCUAAUCUUA